GGUAACGUGGCCGAGUGGUCUAAGGCGCCUGAUUUAAGAAAUAUCUUGAAUAUUGAAAAUCCCAGGUCCCGAAAGGGUCGCGCGUUCGAACCGCGUCGUUACCA